UUAGUAUUUUCAGUCGUAGUCAUUGAUAAUUACAUUAAAAAUAAUUAUUUGUAAUUACAUCAACAUUUCCAUUUUAAUGUAAAAGAAAGACAAACACUCUUUUACCAUUUUAUUUAUAGUAAUGGAUCGAUGCAAAUUUUAUUACAAUCUAAAAUAAUUAUUUUUUUGUACAUAGUUCGAGAAACAUUCGUGAAAAGACAAUAGGCAUAUUCCAUAUUUAGUAAAAAUUACGAUAAAUUUUCAAUAUUUCAAUAUAUACAUUCGCUACAUACUAAGUAAUUAUAUAAAAUAAUAGGAAAAUAUUGUAAUAUUCCACAUAAGAGAUUUCGAGAUCGAGGCAUAGAGAUUCAAGCUUAACAAAACCAGCCCAUGAAAAAUAGUUUACUGAACGCGUUCUUAAACUUUAAAUAACGUUAUUUUCGCCACGAGAAUUUUUUCUUUCGUAGGGGAUGAUUUAUUUCGAACUCUGAAUUCGGUGACUCAUUUCUACGUGACUUCCGUCUGGGUGGGGCCAACUUGUCUAAUGGUAAAACAAUACAAAAAUCUUUCGAUCUGUACGGAAGUUUUUCUGACUCUAUAAAACUGAAUUAAACUUCCAUCCAUUAUACAUUUAUUUUUGUUCAUUUCGGAAAAAAUAUUUUGUACAUUUUCUCGCUUAUACUUCAGAUAUUUCUUUUCUAAUUCUUACUAUAGUAAUCUAAGCCAUAUUAAUCUAGUUACUUUCGCGGUGUACGAUUUCUAAUCACCAGGACUUAUAACACAAGACAAACAAAAAUCGUACACUUCUUUCCGUUAUUUUAUUUACUUACUUAGCAGUUGAUAAAAUCAAUAGAAAAUCGUUCUUGGUGUAUUAUUAAUUUGAAAUUAAUUUAUCUCUAUUCAGAUGAAUAUAAUGGGUAAUUUAUUAAUUAAAAUAUUAAAAUAUUAAAUACGAAAGUGUGAAGAAUUUUUUAAAUUAUUCGAUGCUUAAUUUCGAUUUGUCGAUAAACAAUAGAAAAUGAAUAACACUUUAAGGAAAUCAGAAUUUGAAAAUAACUAGUUUAAAAUUUGAAAAUAACCAUGUAGUUUUGUGACAUUUUAAAACAAGCCACGGUAACUCAAUCGAUAACAUCGAAGCUUUAAAUUAUAAACACGAGAUAUCACUGUACAAGGAUAAUCCGAAUCAAGUUGAAUAUACGAAACAAUAAAAAAACAUUACGAGACCCAAGAUUUACGGGAAUCUAAAACCAAGCUCGGAAAUUAUAACUAAAGAUACGAUUUAAUCAAGCCCGUAUAAUACACACUAAAACGAAGUGAUGGAAAUCGUCGAGGGAAACUUAAGCUUCUGUUGCCAAGCAGUCGUACUAACUCACCGGAUAAAGCGAUUGAAAAGAAGAUGUACGUACUUGUUGUAGAAGAACACAGGAAAAAAAGACAGGGAAAAGUAAGUAAGGAAAGUACGAGUCACGAUCACCAAAUUACGUUCGUCACAAUAAAGAUACCCGGCGACUGACUUAACUCGCUGGUUCUCUCCCGAUUGUGUUAAGGAUCCCACAGGACUUCCAACGCAUGCGCAUAUCCGUACUCACCAUAGUACCAGGAAUGUACAUAGAGUGGAAUAUUGGAUAAGUUAUUAGACGAUUUUUUCAUAUGUUUAUUAUAACUGGCAAUUCGAUUAGCGUAUCAUAAUUAGAGCGAUUGGCUGCGCUAGAAUGGAAAUGAUUACAGGUACAACGUUAUGUCGUUGGAUAUUAUAAAAUGGAUGAAAUUAUCUAGUGCGACGAAUGAAGCAAGUUCUAGCACUAUUCCUUGAAAGCACGGCACUGUGCAGGUCUGUCAGGAUAUCGCGCGUGCGCCGUUUUAAUACGGGAAACAGAAAGAAACAACGGUGGGGAACAGCAGACAGGCAUCGAACUGUCGACUUUGUGGAGGGCCGUGAACUGUGGAUUGACCACCCUACUUUGUAAUUACUCUUUUCCCGAUAGCUUUGUACCGCAUUUUCUUUCAAUCUCCAUGAUUUUUAUCUUUCACGAGUUCCAUUUUCUUCUUUAAUAUUCGUUUGGCUCAUUUUCAGGAGAUUUCGAAAUGCCGCUGCCAUUUAUUUCACAAAGGACAUCCAUAAUUGGGCAUCUGUUAAAUAUACAGGGUGUCCCAAAAAUGUUGGAGGUCCUUGAAAGGGGAGAUUCGAAGGGUGAUUUGAAAUAACUUUUUCCUUAGCGAAAAUGUUGUACGAGGCUUCGUUGAGGAUAUAUUAAGAGAAAACGUCGACCAAUCAGAGCGCGUGGAUACCGUUGGAGCGGCCGCGGUAGCGAAGGCUACGAGCUAAACGACCACGUCCAAUGGCCUUCGAUGCACGUUGAGUCACUUGUUCGCGUACGAGCGCGGCCGCUUAGCUCGUAGCCUUCGCUACCGCGGCCACUCCAACGGCAUCCUCGCGCUCUGAUUGGUCAGUGUUUUCCGUUAAUAUCUCCUUAACGAAGCCUCGGACAACAUUUUCGCUAAGGAAAAAGUUGUUUCAAAUCACCCCCUGAACCACCCCUUUCAAGGUGUUACAACAUUUUUUGGACACCCUGUAGAAUAAAGAAUGCAACGGUAUCCUAAGUAAAUAAUUUAAUAGAAAUAAUGUUGCGAUACUAGCACCUCGUAUAACGUUCUAAAUCGAUAAUUCUUUGUACAAAAAUUUCCAAAUAGUUCUCUAGCUCAUUUGAUAAAAAAUCAAACUGUGUUUUGAUAAAUCUGUCAACUAUAAAAUAAGAUUAUAUCAGAUUCUUACGUAAAACGCGUGCAUAUCUGUAUAGUUAAAAAUUUAAUCUUACUGGCAUAGACAGUUUACAGUUAAACGGUGUACAGUUAUUUUGUCCUACUUAUGUUACGAUAGAGUUUCUGCGAUGAUAAUUAACUUUUUCGUUGCGCGAAAAUUCACUAAUUCGAAAUAACAAACGGUAUAUAGUUCGUCCUUGAUCGACUUAUCGUUUUACAUUUUUUUGUCGAUAUCUUGCUUCCUUGUUUUAUCCCGCUCUUCUCAUUGUAUGUUAAUUUUGUUUUAAUGUAAACAACAUUUGCAGACAAAUACUUCUAUAUUUAUUUUAUUUCCCUCGAAACAGAAGACCAUUCUAAUUUUUAAUAAUUCCGUAAAUUUCCUGAGCUUUACGAAUGAAAUUAUCGUAAAUUCUCGAAAUAUUAAUUAUACUUCUAGGACACUCAUAGAAGUAAAUUAGUCGAUUAUUAGUAGGACUCUAUCGAUGAUUCGAUUAAUUAACAAAAUAUUAAAAAAAAAAAAGAAAGAACAAAAUUGGCACUAUUGUGAUCAAAAGCGUGUACAAGUAUUAAGAAUUAAUUCGUUUUAAUGGCCUGGUCAGAAUUUCAUCCGAUUUCGUUCAGGAAGUCUGGAACUUCCGAGCGUGUCUAACGAGAGGCUUACACUAAUUUGUUUUUCUUUUUCUCGCAAAUCGCGGACGCAGAACAUUUAAUUAUAAAUUUCUUUCUUUGCGAAUUUCUUAAGCGUUCGCGGCACAGGUUCUUACAGGUGAUACUGCAUCAGCUUGUCAUCUGACCCGCUUCAUGAUGCUAUUGUAGCUGCAACGUUGACGAAACUUGGAAACAUUAUACUUUUCUUUGUGUCCAAAAUAACGUAUCAGACUUUUUAUUGUAUUGCACUUCUUUCACUUUAAUUCUUUAAUUCUUUCAGGUAUGGAACCAUGGUGGAUGCAAUAAUUGCAAGUUUUAAUUGAUAAAUAUUUUUCUUAAAUAUGAAAAUAUAGUUUAUGUUACUAAGUGUCUCCAAACAGAGGUUAUAACAGUAAUUGUCAUACCAUAGACAUAACCUAACGGGUACCUUAAUUUCAAACUUAUAUAUUCCAAAGAAAAUUAUAAUAACUAACGUAUGAGAAAUACUAUUCUAAUUAUCCAACAUGUCAAGUUUCAUUACUAUAUUUACUAAUUUGAGGAAUCCGUAAGCAUGUUAUCGGAAUUGUUUUAAAUACGUUGAGCGAAAAUUUGCUUUACGGUAUAACCUAAAUGCAUCUAGCAUCAUCGUUAGGCGAACUGUAACUGAUAGAAAGAAAAGAAGAACGAAAGGAGAAAAAGAGAAGGAACGAGAGAGUUCGUUGGCCGUCAAAGGGAAGUCAGAAGCAUGACUGUAACCGUGCCUGUGAUCGUGAUCUGGACAGCAACCGUGAUCGUGAUUCGUAACCAUGACCGACUUGCCUUUAAAAUGCACUUUAGGAAAUUGUGUGCAUUGUACUACGAUAUUCUGUGAUAACUAACGCGUAUUACAGUACGCGUUUAUAUAAUCAUGUAUAGGUCAUUCCACCAACAAUUUUUGACUUUUUCCUUUGAAGAAUUUUGUUCACAUUAAACUGUCUUGCAGUCUAUGUGGCAAUAAGGAAGACCUGAAAUUAUGAUCAAAUUUUAUAUCGUAGCUGUAACCUUUUUCAGAUCCUCGUAGACGUUUCAAAAUUCUUGCUUUCAUCUUUAUAAUAGUUUAAACGUCCACUGUUAGGCAAUGACACUUUAUGUGCAACGCGAAAGUAUCAUUGCGAAGUAGUUUUACGUCUACGAGACUGAAUGAGUAUAUUUUAGCAAAUUCUAGUAGUAGAUGAUCUAUCCAUGUAUGCGUCAUACGUCAAAAUGUAAAAUCAAAUGUAAAGUUGCAUGCGACAAAAUCUACUAAAUGUUGGAUGUUUUGAUGUUGGUCAUGUUUUGUUGAAUGUUUAGAUACUUCUCGAAAACAACGAAAUAAUCCGCGGGUACUUCCAACAGCUUCUUUUCUAAAUAAAUUUUUAGAUAAUUUGCGUAACAAAUUCGUUAAAUUCUAUACGUGCUGUACAUCACGGUGGGUUCAGUGCACGAUCGUGCAUGAUGUGCAUGAUCAUU